rnacentral:rRNA from 1 species
GACGAACGCUGGCGGCGUGCUUAACACAUGCCAGUCGAACGGAAAGGCCCUGCUUUUGUGGGGUGCUCGAGUGGCGAACGGGUGAGUAACACGUGAGUAACCUGCCCUUGACUUUGGGAUAACUUCAGGAAACUGGGGCUAAUACCGGAUAGGAGCCCCUGCUGCAUGGUGGGGGUUGGAAAGUUUCGGCGGUUGGGGAUGGACUCGCGGCUUAUCAGCUUGUUGGUGGGGUAGUGGCUUACCAAGGCUUUGACGGGUAGCCGGCCUGAGAGGGUGACCGGCCACAUUGGGACUGAGAUACGGCCCAGACUCCUACGGGAGGCAGCAGUGGGGAAUAUUGCACAAUGGGCGGAAGCCUGAUGCAGCAACGCCGCGUGCGGGAUGACGGCCUUCGGGUUGUAAACCGCUUUCGCCUGUGACGAAGCGUGAGUGACGGUAAUGGGUAAAGAAGCACCGGCUAACUACGUG